GUUAUAUGGUCAAGUGAAGAAGCGCAUACGGUGGAUGCCUUGGCAGUCAGAGGCGAUGAAAGACGUGGUAGCCUGCGAAAAGCUUCGGGGAGUCGGCAAACAGACUUUGAUCCGGAGAUCUCUGAAUGGGGGAACCCACCUAGGAUAACCUAGGUAUCUUGUACUGAAUCCAUAGGUGCAAGAGGCGAACCAGGGAACUGAAACAUCUAAGUACCCUGAGGAAAAGAAAUCAACCGAGAUUCCCUUAGUAGUGGCGAGCGAACGGGGAUUAGCCCUUAAGCUUCAUUGAUUUUAGCGGAACGCUCUGGAAAGUGCGGCCAUAGUGGGUGAUAGCCCCGUACGCGAAAGGAUCUUUGAAGUGAAAUCGAGUAGGACGGAGCACGAGAAACUUUGUCUGAACAUGGGGGGACCAUCCUCCAAGGCUAAAUACUACUGACUGACCGAUAGUGAACCAGUACCGUGAGGGAAAGGCGAAAAGAACCCCGGAGAGGGGAGUGAAAUAGAACCUGAAACCGUAUGCGUACAAGCAGUGGGAGCCUACUUGUUAGGUGACUGCGUACCUUUUGUAUAAUGGGUCAGCGACUUAUAUUCAGUGGCAAGCUUAACCGUAUAGGGUAGGCGUAGCGAAAGCGAGUCUUAAUAGGGCGUUUAGUCGCUGGGUAUAGACCCGAAACCGGGCGAUCUAUCCAUGAGCAGGUUGAAGGUUAGGUAACACUGACUGGAGGACCGAACCCACUCCCGUUGAAAAGGUAGGGGAUGACUUGUGGAUCGGAGUGAAAGGCUAAUCAAGCUCGGAGAUAGCUGGUUCUCCUCGAAAGCUAUUUAGGUAGCGCCUCAUGUAUCACUCUGGGGGGUAGAGCACUGUUUCGGCUAGGGGGUCAUCCCGACUUACCAAACCGAUGCAAACUCCGAAUACCCAGAAGUGCCGAGCAUGGGAGACACACGGCGGGUGCUAACGUCCGUCGUGAAAAGGGAAACAACCCAGACCGCCAGCUAAGGUCCCAAAGUUGUGGUUAAGUGGUAAACGAUGUGGGAAGGCUUAGACAGCUAGGAGGUUGGCUUAGAAGCAGCCACCCUUUAAAGAAAGCGUAAUAGCUCACUAGUCGAGUCGGCCUGCGCGGAAGAUGUAACGGGGCUCAAACCACACACCGAAGCUGCGGGUGUCACGUAAGUGACGCGGUAGAGGAGCGUUCUGUAAGCCUGUGAAGGUGAGUUGAGAAGCUUGCUGGAGGUAUCAGAAGUGCGAAUGCUGACAUGAGUAACGACAAUGGGUGUGAAAAACACCCACGCCGAAAGACCAAGGGUUCCUGCGCAACGUUAAUCGACGCAGGGUUAGUCGGUUCCUAAGGCGAGGCUGAAAAGCGUAGUCGAUGGGAAACAGGUUAAUAUUCCUGUACUUCUGGUUACUGCGAUGGAGGGACGGAGAAGGCUAGGCCAGCUUGGCGUUGGUUGUCCAAGUUUAAGGUGGUAGGCUGAAAUCUUAGGUAAAUCCGGGGUUUCAAGGCCGAGAGCUGAUGACGAGUCGUCUUUUAGAUGACGAAGUGGUUGAUGCCAUGCUUCCAAGAAAAGCUUCUAAGCUUCAGGUAACCAGGAACCGUACCCCAAACCGACACAGGUGGUCGGGUAGAGAAUACCAAGGCGCUUGAGAGAACUCGGGUGAAGGAACUAGGCAAAAUGGCACCGUAACUUCGGGAGAAGGUGCGCCGGCUAGGUGAAGGAUUUACUCCGUAAGCUCUGGCUGGUCGAAGAUACCAGGCCGCUGCGACUGUUUAUUAAAACACAGCACUCUGCAAACACGAAAGUGGACGUAUAGGGUGUGACGCCUGCCCGGUGCCGGAAGGUUAAUUGAUGGGGUUAGCGCAAGCGAAGCUCUUGAUCGAAGCCCCGGUAAACGGCGGCCGUAACUAUAACGGUCCUAAGGUAGCGAAAUUCCUUGUCGGGUAAGUUCCGACCUGCACGAAUGGCGUAACGAUGGCGGCGCUGUCUCCACCCGAGACUCAGUGAAAUUGAAAUCGCUGUGAAGAUGCAGUGUAUCCGCGGCUAGACGGAAAGACCCCGUGAACCUUUACUGUAGCUUUGCACUGGACUUUGAGCCUGCUUGUGUAGGAUAGGUGGGAGGCUUUGAAGCGUGGACGCCAGUUCGCGUGGAGCCAUCCUUGAAAUACCACCCUGGCAUGCUUGAGGUUCUAACUCUGGUCCGUGAUCCGGAUCGAGGACAGUGUAUGGUGGGCAGUUUGACUGGGGCGGUCUCCUCCUAAAGAGUAACGGAGGAGUACGAAGGUGCGCUCAGACCGGUCGGAAAUCGGUCGCAGAGUAUAAAGGCAAAAGCGCGCUUGACUGCGAGACAGACACGUCGAGCAGGUACGAAAGUAGGUCUUAGUGAUCCGGUGGUUCUGUAUGGAAGGGCCAUCGCUCAACGGAUAAAAGGUACUCCGGGGAUAACAGGCUGAUACCGCCCAAGAGUUCAUAUCGACGGCGGUGUUUGGCACCUCGAUGUCGGCUCAUCACAUCCUGGGGCUGAAGCCGGUCCCAAGGGUAUGGCUGUUCGCCAUUUAAAGUGGUACGCGAGCUGGGUUUAGAACGUCGUGAGACAGUUCGGUCCCUAUCUGCCGUGGACGUUUGAGAUUUGAGAGGGGCUGCUCCUAGUACGAGAGGACCGGAGUGGACGAACCUCUGGUGUUCCGGUUGUCACGCCAGUGGCAUUGCCGGGUAGCUAUGUUCGGAAAAGAUAACCGCUGAAAGCAUCUAAGCGGGAAACUUGCCUCAAGAUGAGAUCUCACUGGGAACUUGAUUCCCCUGAAGGGCCGUCGAAGACUACGACGUUGAUAGGCUGGGUGUGUAAGCGUUGUGAGGCGUUGAGCUAACCAGUACUAAUUGCCCGUGAGGCUUGACCAUAUAACACCCAAACA
rnacentral:rRNA from 1 species